rnacentral:lncRNA from 10 species
UGUGUCAUGCAGCUGCUAUGGGGGGAUGGAGGAGGAGUGGCAUUGGCAAUUCAAGACUGCCUUUCCUACCCUUUUCAGUGCCUCUUUCAGUGAUACGAAGCUAAAACCAGAUACUGCUUUCAUAGUACUUUUCUGACCACGGUUUUCUGGAGUUUUUUCGUAUGGAGUUUGUAAGCUUCCUGACAUGGAUUAUAACUGUACUUGAUGGAGCACAGUUAUAAUAGCUGCUUUAGAGUCCUUGAUAAUUCCCACAUCUGAGUCAUCUCAAGUUAUUUUUGGCAGAUUUUGAUGGAUGUACAUUGAUGGAUAGCCACGUGGAUCCAGAAAAUAAAGACUUCUACUCUGCAUUUGACUAAAGCAGAAGAUAUGCAAGGAAGCUCAGUCUCUCAAUUGAGUGGAUUCUGAAAUUUAUCCUGUUGUCUUCAGCUACUAAGGCUAAUUUGCAAAUCACACUGUGCACGGUUUUAUCUCUCCCAAUAAAUACAAUAUUCUACAUCCUCUGUUGUACUCAGAAUUUGGAAAUUAACCCCAGUAUGCUGAUUAAUAGUCAUAACUAUAUCUAGAUAACAAAAUAUGCAUAUAUAUGAAGGAGGCAGACAAUAGGGGAGGGCAGGUUGAAAGUUUUUU